GCUAUAAUAGCCAACGUUUCUGAUUUAAAAUUGACCUGGACGCCUCUUUUUUCGACCAAAACUUGGACUCCUGUACCAAUUUCUAAGAAUACAAUAAUAAUUCAACUGGAGGAUGUAUAGAGAAAUCGUUUGUCCAAGUGGAACAAUAGACGUAUUCUUAUUGCUGGUAGAAUUGUUCUUUGAAGUCACUCUUGUACUCCAUGAGAGCAGAUGCUUCAGUGACUGAAGAGUCACUCUUGUACUCC
rnacentral:lncRNA from 1 species